AUGAAUUUCUUGGCCUGGAACUGUCGUGGAUUGGGGUUGGACUCGACAGUUGGCGAGCUAAGGGACUUGAUACGGUCAUACAACCCAGCGGUGGUUUUUCUUUCAGAAACAAAGAAGAAGGCGAGAGCAAUGGAAAAAUUAAAGUGGAGUUUGGGCUUCAAAAGUGGUGUAGCGGUAGAUUGUCAAGGUUUGAGUGGGGGUCUGGCUUUGUGGUGGAGGGAGAAUGUAUAG
rnacentral:rRNA from 1 species